GUCACUGGGGUGCGCGACGGGCCCUUCCCUGAGCCCCUUUCCAUGGAGCCCAGGCCCCAACGGCGGCAGCUGCCCCUGCCUGACAUCCGGACCCAGCCUCACCUCUCCUUUCACAGCGAGCCCUGCUGGCACUGGGGGCCUGCAUUCCAGUUUUCCUCCCCAGCUGUGGGAUGCUGUUGGCGCCUUGGUGCCAGCCGCUGAGGUGAGCAGGUGGGUGAGGGGCUCCGUGAAGCUCUGGCAUCUGGUGUCCGGCCCAGGACUUGGGGGUGCUGGCCUCGCCGCCUGGCCGGGUCAUACAUAAGGGGUCGGUCAGCUCUGCCCCAGGCCAGGAUGCUGCUGGGCCCACAGCCGCCCCAGGACCCCCUCAGCCCAGGUGCCCUCCCUCAGUGCUCAGUUCCGGGGAUGACUGUGUCCCCCACCCCGUCACGCUGCUCAGCGAGCACCCUGUAAUCCCAUAUGGUAACUCAUGAAUCUACCCACUAAGAAACCACAACAUGUGAUUCCUCGAGGGAGGCUGGGGGGUAGUCGCGGAGUCGUGGCUGGGCCCAGCCGCGGACUCAGGUCUGUGAUGGGCUAACCUGUGCCCCCACAUCCGCAGGUGGGCGGCCUGACCCUAGACUCAGAGCGUGACUUCUUUGGAGACAGGGUCAUUGAAGGUGUGUGUGACGAUGAGGCCACGGGGUCACCCCUGACCAGUGUGACCAGUGUCCUUAUAAAAGGGGCGUGGACCCAGGCGGGCCUAGAGGGAUGGUGGCACAGAGGCAGGAGAAAAUGCCCACCAAAGCCCAGGAGGAGGCCUGGGACAGGCCCUUCCCGGCGCCUUCAGAGGGAGCCUGGCCCUGCCAGAUGCCUGGUCUCACGUCGGCCUCCAGGACUGCGAGACCUUCCUGCUGUGUGGGUGCCCAGUGCCAGCACUUGCUAAGGGUCCCCAGCCCCAGGAAAGCAGUGCCGUCCCCUGAGCCAAGUGGACCUCUCUCUGCUUCUGUGGCUUCUCUAUAUUUAGUUAUCAUGUUUCAAAGGCUUAUCAAAUCCCUGGGCAUAAAACGUUUUACGAAUCUGUCUAAAUAACGUUCCAAGGUGUCUCAUACUCGACGGAAUCUUGGACGGUGCUGCCCCUUGCAGGUGGCUGGGACUGCCUGGGUACAGCCUCUCCUUGGUUUUCAGCUUGGCUCUGCCUUCACCCCACAUGGGGUUCCGUCUGGCCCUAGCGGGGAGGGUGCUUGGCUCGGGCAGUGGGCUGGGCGGCCCCUGGCCCAGGACGGCUCUGGAGAAUAAGGAGGCCACCACAGGCCGGUAGGCCUGAGACCUCUGCCCCUUCUGAGGCCGCGGGGUUGAGCAGCUGAGCAGCUGACUCUCCCAUGGUCAGUGAGGGCUCAGCAUUUUCUCUUCUGGUUGAAAUAGAAACUGGGAAGUUGGAGGCCAAGAUUGAGGGGCAGGCGGAGGUGGUUCUCCUGCCAAGCUUCCUAAACGGCAGAAGCAGCAGAAGCAGCUAGGGUUAGUGUUGGCUUCUCUCUCUCUCUCUCUCUCUCUCUCUCUCUCUCUCUCUGUGUCUCUCUGUCUCUCUCUGUCUCUCUCUCUCUGUGUCUCUCUCUCUCUGUCUCUGUCUCUCUGUCUCUCGGUCUCUCUGUCUCUGUCUCUCUGUCUCUGUCUCUCUCUCUCUGUCUCUCUCUCUCUCUCUCUCAUUUAUUUCUAGAGCAUUUACAAAUUAAUUUUCCUGGUCUAAACCGGGAGGGGCUGCCAUGAUAAAAUGAAGCUGUUUGGUGUUCCAUGUCGAUCUCCCUGAGACAAUGCACUCCUGAGCCUGCUGGGCCCUGCCUCACAGCUGAGUCCUGGUCAGGGCCCUGCCCCUUCUUCCUCUCCCUUGGCCCUGGUUCCACAGAGACCUAUUUCUCCAGGGCAUCCAGGAAGCACCUACGGUGAUGGGGGAUUGCAUUUCAGCAGCAAUCCAUGUGUGAACAUUAAAACGAUCUCCUUAAAUAUUCAUGGUGACCAUGACCUCAUCUGGCUGCCUCGGGCCAGGGCUGGGUGCAGGUCAGGGAAGGGGGCUCAGGCCCUGAGACCCCAGCCUGGUCCCCAGCAAUACAGCUCCCCUCUGUCCUCUCCUCUCUGAGUCAACCCCUCCUGAGAGCUCCGAUGUCUCCUCUCUGGGGUGGCAGAGGUGGGGGCUGCUUUCCAAGCAAAGAAAUGCUCUGGGGCCACGUGGGAAUAAAUAUUUCAUGGGAGAGCAGACCUAGCCAGUAAAAAAUUAAGCAGCUUUACAUCAUCAGAGAGAGAAAGAAAGGGUUGCCUCAUGUUAUGAGUCUGCUGGUGUCCUUAGGACAGAGACAGGGAGACUGAGGUUUUGGGGUAAAUUAUUUAGGGUGUUGUAGGCUGGUCUAGGAAUGUUAAGCUGAAAUGAGACCGGCCCUGGAAGACGACAGGGGGAGCUGGGGUAAGAAGUGCUGCCUUAUGGAAGGCGUGGCGUGCAGAGACGCUGGCCACGAGGAACCCUUUCCCCGUGCACCUGCGCAGUAGCGCCUGCCUCGCGGGAGGCCCCACAGAUGUUGUUGAAUAAAGGGGCAGUGAGUCAGUGAGGCCAUUUCAGCCAUUUUUCUGUUGCCGCCUCACUCUGGAUUUAUGAAAGUACUUGCUAAUCGACGAUCGUCUUCGCCCGGCAUGCUGCAAAUUCACGUUUAUAUGCCCCCUGCCUCCCCCAAAUCAGCUACGGCAGAGUCAGGGGCAGGGACGGGUGGGCAUGGCCGGGCAGCUGCUCGGCUGCGUCACGCCGGGGGUGGCUGGAGCUGAUUCGGAAGCAGUGAAAUGUGGGCCCGCGUGGCUUCCCUGGAAAGAAAACAGGUCCUUGCCUAGAAAUUCAGUGGGUGACCUAAGAUGAUUGAGGGCUGUGUCCAUGUAAAUUUUUCAGUAAGGUGAGGGGCCAGUUUGUCAGUAAACUCCCUGGUGCUGUAAUUAGGGGGCUAUGUUCAGGAACUGGCUUCCUAAUGUGCAUUGAGGGCAGUGCUGACGCAGCCCAUGUACAUGCUAAAUACACGUGGGAGUGUUUGUGAAGAGACAGGCCUGCACAACACAGGGGACCUGACACUGAGCAUCCAUGUGGCCCUUUCUGGUACCCAGAACUGUGCACCCCCCUGUGCAGCAUCUCACAGGACUAAACAGACAGUAACACAACCCCGAACAGACAGUAAAAACCCGGAACAGAGAGGAACAACCCUGAACAGACAGUAACAACCCGGAACAGAGAGGAAGAACCCCAAACAGGCAGUAACAACCCCCAACAGGCAGUAACAACCCCGAACAGAGAGUAACAACCCUGAACAGAGAGGAACAACCCCGAACUGAGAGGAACAACCCUGAACAGACACUAACAACCCAGAACCAGGCAGUUACAAGCCUGAACAGACAGUAACAACCGGGAACAGACAGUAACAACCCUGAACAGACAGUAAAAACCCGGAACAGAGAGGAAGAACCCCAAACAGGCAGUAACAACCCCCAACAGGCAGUAACAACCCCGAACAGAGAGGAACAAUCCCAAACAGGCAGUAACAACCCCGAACAGAGAGGAACAACCCCGAACUGAGAGGAACAACCCCAAACAGGCAGGAACAACCCUGAACAGACACUAACAACCCAGAACCAGGCAGUUACAAGCCUGAACAGACAGUAACAACCGGGAACAGACAGUAACAACCCUGAACAGACAGUAAAAACCCGGAACAGAGAGGAAGAACCCCAAACAGGCAGUAACAACCCCCAACAGGCAGUAACAACCCCAAACAGAGAGGAACAAUCCCAAACAGGCAGUAACAACCCCGAACAGAGAGGAAGAAUCCCAAACAGGCAGUAACAACCCUGAACAGACAGUAAAAACCCCGGAACAGGGAGGAACAACCCCAAACAGGCAGGAACAACCCCAAACAGGCAGUAACAACCCUGAACAGAGAGUAACAACCCCGAACAGACAGUAACAACCCCGAACAGGCAGUAACAACCCCAAACAGAGAGGAACAACCCUGAACAGACAGUAACAACCCUGAACAGACAGUAAAACCCCAGAACAGAGAGGAACGAACCCAAACAGGCAGGAACAACCCUGAACAGGCAGUAACAACCCUGAACAGAGAGUAACAACCCUGAACAGACAGUAACAACCCAGAACAGGGAGGAACAACCCGGAACAGAGAGGAACAACCCCAAACAGGCAGGAACAACCCCAAACAGGCAGUAACAACCCCGAACAGAGAGUAACAACCCCGAACAGACAGUAACAACCACGAACAGGCAGUAACAACCCCGAACAGAGAGGAACAACCCUGAACAGGCAGUAACAACCCUGAACAGACAGUAAAACCCCAGAACAGAGAGGAACAACCCCAAACAGGCAGGAACAACCCUGAACAGGCAGUAACAACCCUGAACAGAGAGUAACAACCCUGAACAGACAGUAACAACCCAGAACAGGGAGGAACAACCCCAAACAGGCAGGAACAACCCCAAACAGGCAGUAACAAACCCGAAAAGAGAGUAACAACCCCGAACAGACAGUAACAACCACGAACAGGCAGUAACAACCCCGAACAGAGGGGAACAACCCCGAACAGAGAGUAAUAACCCCAAACAGGCCGUAACAACCCCGAACAGGCAGUAACAACCCCGAAGAGAGAGGAACAACCCCGAAAAGAUAGGAACAACAUCGAACAGAGAGGAACAACCCCAAACAGGCUAUAACAACCCCGAAGAGAGAGGAACAACCCCGAAAAGAGAGGAACAACCCCGAAAAGAGAAGAACAACACUGAACAGAGAGGAACAACCCCGAACAGGCAGGAACAACCCCGAACAGGCAGGAACAACCCCAAACAGAGUAACAACCCCGAACAGAGAGGAACAACCCCGAACAGAGGGGAACAACCCCGAACAGAGGGGAACAACCCCGAACAGAGAGUAACAACCCCGAACAGAGAGGAACAACCCCAAACAGGCAGUAACAACCCCGAACAGGCAGUAACAACCCCGAACAGAGAGGAACAACCCCAAACAGGCCGUAACAACCCCAAACAGAGGGGAACAACCCCGAACAGGCAGGAAAAACCCCAAACAGGCAGUAACAACCCCGAACAGAGAGUAACAACCCCAAAGAGAGAGGAACAACCCCGAAGAGAGAGUAACAACACAGAACAGAGAGGAACAACCCCGAACAGGCAGGAACAACCCCGAACAGGCAGGAACAACCCCAAACAGAGAGUAACAACCCCGAACAGAGAGGAACAACCCCGAACAGGCAGUAACAACACCGAACAGAGAGGAACAACCCCAAACAGAGAGGAACAACCCCAAACAGAGAGGAACAACCCCGAACAGAGAGGAACAACACCGAACAGAGAGGAACAACACCGAACAGAGAGGCACAACCCCGAACAGAGAGGAACAACCCCGAACAGAGAGGAACAACCCCGAACAGAGAGGAACAACACCGAACAGAGAGGAACAACACCGAACAGAGAGGCACAACCCCGAACAGAGAGGAACAACCCCGAGCAGGAAGUAACAACCCCGAAGAGAGAGGAACAACCCCGAACAGGCAGUAACAACCCCAAACAGAGAGGAACAACCCCAAACAGAGAGGAACAACCCCGAACAGACAGUAACAACCCGGAACAGAGAGUAACAACCCAAAACAGGCAGUAACAAUCCCGAACAGGCAGUAACAACCCCGAACAGACAGUAACAGCCCUGAACAGAGUGUAACAACCCCGAACAGAGAGGAACAACACCGAACAGGCAGUAACAACCCCGAACAGAGAGUAACAACCCCGAACAGAGAGGAACAACCCCAAAUAGUCAGUAACAAUCCCGAACAGGCAGUAACAACUCCGAACAGAGAGUAACAACCCCGAACAGAAAGUAACAACCCCGAACAGAGAGUAACAACCCCGAACAGGCAGUAACAAUCCGGAACAGAGAGUAACAACCUGGAACAGGCAGUAACAACUCGGAACAGGCAGUAACAGCCCUGAACAGGCAGUAACAACCCGGAACAGAGAGUAACAACCCUGAGCAGGCAGUAACAACCCGGAACAGGCAGUAACAACCCCAGCUAAACCAAUAGAACCGGCCUGGCAGCCACUCCUGUUCCAGUGCAGCACUCCACCAUGCAGAGGGGUCGGAGAAGCAGUUGUAGGUCACAGCAAGGAGUGGGCCGUGGGGAUCAUGGCCAGGUCGUGAAAUCCAAGUGGCACCCGCCAUGGCACCAGCCAGAACAGGUCCCCUCCUUUCCAAAGGGCAGAGCUGGGGCUGGCCCUGGAGAUGCUGGGGUCAGCAAGGGCUGGGGCUGCGCUCCCUCCUGGGUCUGUGUCAAAAGCAGCCAGCACCGAAGCCUGUCCACAUCGGCCAGGCCCUGUGCAAGCCGCGCUUCCCAGCAGACGGCACGGAAUUGCUGGUGAGAGUGGACGCUGGGCCGGAACAGAGCGGCGCUUCCUG
rnacentral:lncRNA from 10 species